GCUCGUGGAUCGAUGAAGACCACAGCUAAAUGCGCGUCAGAAUGUGAACUGCAGGACUCAUGAACACCGACAAGUUGAACGCAUAUUGCACACUGUACAACAGUACGAUGUACACAUUUUUGAGUGCCUAUAUUUAUCCAUGCAACUGUACGUGCUUGCGCGUCCCACCGGCCGAACGGCGCACCCCGUACGCGUAGUGACGUUUUCUCGGUCCAGCCCAGUAAAACGUUCAAGAUAGUCAGGCGCGCCCCGACCGAGCGCGGUUGAAGAAUACAACCCCUAGACCAACGCGCUUGGUUAUGUUGUAUUUUAUCGGCAGUACCGCCACCACCCAGUAGGCCUCAAAUAAUGUGUGACUACCCCCUAAAUUUAAGCA
rnacentral:rRNA from 1 species